UGGGGAAUCUUGGACAAUGGGCGCAAGCCUGAUCCAGCCAUGCCGCGUGGAUGAUGAAGGCCUUAGGGUUGUAAAAUCCUUUUCGCCGAGGACGAUAAUGACGGUACUCGGAGAAGAAGCUCCGGCUAACUUCGUGCCAGCAGCCGCGGUAAUACGAAGGGGGCUAGCGUUGUUCGGAUUUACUGGGCGUAAAGCGCGUGUAGGCGGGUCGUUAAGUUGGGGGUGAAAUCCCGAGGCUCAACCUCGGAACUGCCUUCAAAACUGGCGACCUGGACCUAAGUAGAGGCAAGUGGAAUUGCGAGUGUAGAGGUGAAAUUCGUAGAUAUUCGCAGGAACACCAGUGGCGAAGGCGACUUGCUGGACUUAUGGUGACGCUGAGACGCGAAAGCGUGGGGAGCAAACAGGAUUAGAUACCCUCGUAGUCCCUGAGCGGGCUGGCAAGGCGCAU
rnacentral:rRNA from 1 species